rnacentral:rRNA from 1 species
UACGUAGGGUGCGAGCGUUAAUCGGAAUUACUGGGCGUAAAGCGUGCGCAGGCGGUGAUGUAAGACAGAUGUGAAAUCCCAGGGCUCAACCUUGGAACUGCAUUUGUGACUGCAUCGCUGGAGUGCGGCAGAGGGGGAUGGAAUUCCGCGUGUAGCAGUGAAAUGCGUAGAUAUGCGGAGGAACACCGAUGGCGAAGGCAAUCCCCUGGGCCUGCACUGACGCUCAUGCACGAAAGCGUGGGGAGCAAACAGG